UACAGAGGUCUCAAGCGUUGUUCGGAAUUACUGGGCGUAAAGGGUGCGCAGGCCGCGCGGGCAGUCAAAUGUGUAAUUCAGGGGCUCAACCCCUGCACUGCGCUUGAUACUUCCGCGCUAGAACUUUGGAGAGGAGUCUGGAAUUCUCGGUGUAGCAGUGAAAUGCGUGGACAUCGAGAAGAACACUAACGGCGUAAGCAAGACUCUGGACAAAUGUUGACGCUCAAGCACGAAGGCUAGGGUAGCGAACGGG
rnacentral:rRNA from 1 species